UACAUAGGGGGCAAGCGUUGUCCGGAUUUAUUGGGCGUAAAGAGCUCGUAGGCGGUCUGUCGCGUCGGCUGUGAAAACCCGGGGCUCAACCCCGGGCCUGCAGUCGAUACGGGCAGACUAGAGUGUGGUAGGGGAGACUGGAAUUCCUGGUGUAGCGGUGGAAUGCGCAGAUAUCAGGAGGAACACCGGUGGCGAAGGCGGGUCUCUGGGCCAUAACUGACGCUGAGGAGCGAAAGCGUGGGGAGCGAACAGG
rnacentral:rRNA from 1 species